rnacentral:rRNA from 1 species
CAGCUUGCUGUUUUGCUGACGAGUGGCGGACGGGUGAGUAAUGUCUGGGAAACUGCCUGAUGGAGGGGGAUAACUACUGGAAACGGUAGCUAAUACCGCAUAACGUCGCAAGACCAAAGAGGGGGACCUUAGGGCCUCUUGCCAUCGGAUGUGCCCAGAUGGGAUUAGCUAGUAGGUGGGGUAACGGCUCACCUAGGCGACGAUCCCUAGCUGGUCUGAGAGGAUGACCAGCCACACUGGAACUGAGACACGGUCCAGACUCCUACGGGAGGCAGCAGUGGGGAAUAUUGCACAAUGGGCGCAAGCCUGAUGCAGCCAUGCCGCGUGUAUGAAGAAGGCCUUCGGGUUGUAAAGUACUUUCAGCGGGGAGGAAGGGAGUAAAGUUAAUACCUUUGCUCAUUGACGUUACCCGCAGAAGAAGCACCGGCUAACUCCGUGCCAGCAGCCGCGGUAAUACGGAGGGUGCAAGCGUUAAUCGGAAUUACUGGGCGUAAAGCGCACGCAGGCGGUUUGUUAAGUCAGAUGUGAAAUCCCCGGGCUCAACCUGGGAACUGCAUCUGAUACUGGCAAGCUUGAGUCUCGUAGAGGGGGGUAGAAUUCCAGGUGUAGCGGUGAAAUGCGUAGAGAUCUGGAGGAAUACCGGUGGCGAAGGCGGCCCCCUGGACGAAGACUGACGCUCAGGUGCGAAAGCGU